rnacentral:rRNA from 15 species
GCUUACGGCCAUACCACCCUGAACGCGCCCGAUCUCGUCCGAUCUCGGAAGCUAGGCAGGGUCGGGCCUGGUUAGUACUUGGAUGGGAGACCGCCUGGGAAUACCAGGUGCUGUAAGCC